rnacentral:lncRNA from 1 species
GGGGCUGGCCCUGAGGAUGGAAGGUGAAGCGUUAAUGACUCAGAGCGCAGUCGCUGCCCUCUGAACUGGAACGGAAAGCUACUUCCGGUUGCAGUCAUUCUGCCGGGCACCGGCGACCUGUGGCGUGAGCGAGCACAGCCGGAACCCUCCACUGUGAGUAAAAGCGGAGACAGGGAGUCUGGGUCGGCCGAGCCCGGGGACGCAGGGCUGGGGUGUGUGAGCGGGUGUGGGAUGCGCUGCGCUGCACCGAAGUCUCCUCCGAGAAGUAGAGCUGCGGCCCCAGCGAGUUUACAGCGCGAUUUUGAGCGAGAGAAAGCGCGGGUCCCUGUCCCCGAGCUGACCCUGUGGGGCUUUCCCGGCCCGUGACCUCAGCUCCGCGACGACAGUCCCCCACCCGUCGCGGCAGGGUGACUGCCGCUCUCCUCGCUGCUUCCCGGGGCUGGAAACGAGCGCGGCACGGCCUGCGGUGUUGGGGCGCCGGGGAUCCCGGAGUCCUCGACUUCGCAGAAGCCGGUCGCCCCGGCGGUUAUGCCCUCGAACACUUAAUAGACUCUUUGUGUCUAUCCCGGGAGUUGCACAAUUCCCUUCUCUGCUUUCCUGUGGAGUGUCAUCAUAGUCUUGUCAAUGAGAAGUUGGGUAACUUCCCCCUAGGAGUCCCGGAGAGAAUGGGUGGCCAAGGCUCAAAGAGCAGAAGUAGCCAUCCUCCUUCCCUGGUCACCCAGUCAUUAGGUAGAGUCUCCACCGUCGUGUAAACUGAGUGGCAACGAGUUAUACACCAAAAACAAGCAAGCAAGCAAACAAACGAGAAGAAAAAGAGCAAUGCUUGUCCUGAAAUCCGAUCAAGGGGGAAGAUGCUCGCUGUACCCCCAGAGGACUUAGGCUCUCUCACUAUUAGGCUGGCUGUACAAAGCAGCCUUCUUGGGUGUCUUUUUCUCUCGCAGAAACUUUUGAGAAGUUAACAUGAAGAAGAAACGAUAAGCUAGAAAGUGAAGAGAGGUGGAGUAACACCCCGCCGUUUGCCCAGUAACAGAAAGACAAGCACCACCUUCUUGCGAAAAGCCAUAUUGUCCCCUUUGAGAGGGGCCGUGAACCCCUCAAAUGAUAAAGGAGAAAAUGAAACCACCCCGCUAAAGCGUUUUCAAUCAUGUAAGACAAAGCCUUCCACAUCUCUUAAAGGCGCCUACUCACGUUGUUUUGCUCCCCUAUGGAAAUGAGAUCAUUGCUUACUCUGUACACCCUCUUCUCUUGGCGUUGGUCACUUUUCCCAAGUUUGGAUUUUUAUGUCGUUUUUUUUUUCUUCCUUCCUUCCUUUCUUCUUUCUUUCUUUCUUUCUUUCUUUCUUUCUUUCUUUCUUUCUUUCUUUUCCUUUCUUAAAGGUACAGUUGUUGCCAGGCAUGGUGGCUCAUGCUUUUAAUCCCAGAACUCAGGAGGAAGAUACAGAUAUAGUAACCCUUCAUGCUAUGUGCCACAUACUGUAAAGAACUAUUAGUCAUGUGGCUUUGCCUAGGUUUUGUAUCCAAGAUUAUUGUCCUCUUGCAAAUUAUUGAGAUAAUUUCCUGUGCUAUUUCAUUUUAAUACUUGACUCAUUUUAAACAUCUGAAGUUAUUCUUGUACACUGUAGAAACAUAAUUAUGAAUUAGGUAUCAUAGGUUUUUUUUUUCAACGUAAUAAAAACAAACAUACCAGGAAGAGGAAUUUUCAUUUGAGGUAUCGUCUCUAUCAGAAUGGCCUGUGAACUUGUCUGUGAGGUAUUCUUUUAUUGCUGGUUGAUAUGGGAGGAUCCAGCCAGCUCUGAGUACUAUGAUCCCUGGGCAGGUGGGCCUAGACUUUAUAAGAAAGAAUGAGCAAGCUGGGAGAAGAAAACUGGGAAGUAGGCAUCAACCUUCUGUGGUUUUUUGCUCCAGCUUCUUGCUUGAGUUUCUGCUCCAACUUCCCCCAGUGAUGGGUUUUGAACUAUGAGUUGUAAGAUGGAGUGAACCCCUUCAUUCUCAAGUUGCUUUUGGUCAUAGUGUUCAUCAUAGCAUCAGAAACAAAAGUACAAGUGGGUUAGGUGAGUAAGUUGACUUAGCAAGUAAAGGUGUCUGCCACUAAGCCUGACAUCAGGGAUCCAUCCCGAGGACCAGCAAGGUAGAAGGAGAGAAACUAACCCCUCAAUGUUGCCCUGUGACUCUUUUACACACACACACACACACACACACACACACACACACACACUACACGCC